rnacentral:tRNA from 2 species
GCACUGGUUCCCGGAGCGGCAAACGGGCGGGAUUGUAAAUCCCUUGUCAUCGCGACUUCGGUGGUUCGAGUCCACCUCAGUGCACCA